CUGGGCAUCAUAGCAAGACCCCAUCUCUACAAAAAUUAUAUUUUUAUUUUUUUUAAAGAUGGGGUCUUGCUCUGGCUCAGGCU
rnacentral:miRNA from 1 species